AUCUUGCGCAAUGGGCGAAAGCCUGACGCAGCCAUGCCGCGUGACUGAUGUCGGUCUUAGGACUGUAAAAUUCUUUCACCGGGGACGAUAAUGACCGCACGCGGAUAAUAAGCCCCUGCUACCUUCGUGCCACCAGCCGCGGUAAUACGAAGGGGGCUAGCGUUGCUCGGAAUUACUGGGCGUAAAGGGCGCGUAGGCGGACAUUUAAGUCAGGGGUGAAAUCCCAGAGCUCAACUCUGGAACUGCCUUUGAUACUGGGUGUCUUGGGUGUGAGAGAGGUAUGUGGAACUCCGAGUGUAGAGGUGAAAUUCGUAGAUAUUCGGAAGAACAACAGUGGCGAAGGCGACAUACUGGCUCAUUACUGACGCUGAGGCGCGAAAGCGUGGGGAGCAAACA
rnacentral:rRNA from 1 species